CUCGUAGGCGGAUCUAAAAGUCUGACGUGAAACCUCCACCGCUCACCGGGGAGGGGCCGUUGGAUACUGUAGAUCUGGAGUUCGGUAGAGGGUCGUGGAAUUUCGGGUGUAGCGGUGGAAUGCGUAGAUAUCCGAAAGAACACCGGUGGCGAAGGCGGCAUCCUGGACCAAUAUUGACGCUGAGGAGCGAAAGCCAGGGGAAGCAAACG
rnacentral:rRNA from 1 species